rnacentral:rRNA from 2 species
GAUGAACGCUGGCGGCGCGCCUAACACACGCAAGUCGAACGGUUAAAGCACCUUUUAGGUGUGUAUAAAGUGGCGAACGGCUGAGUAACACGUGGGCAACCUGCCCUCCUCUUGGGGAUAGCCUCGGGAAACCGAGGAUAAUACCCGAUACUUCAAUGUGGCCGCAUGACGACAUUGAGAAAGCUUUUGCGGAGAAGGAUGGGCCCGCGGCCUGUUAGCUUGUUGGUGGGGUAGAGGCCUACCAAGGCAAUGAUGGGUAGCUGGGUUGAGAGACCGACCAGCCAGAUUGGGACUGAGACACGGCCCAAACUCCUACGGGAGGCAGCAGUGGGGAAUCUUGCACAAUGGGCGAAAGCCUGAUGCAGCGACGCCGCGUGCGGGACGAAGGCCUUCGGGUUGUAAACCGCUUUCAGCAGGGACGAGGCGAAAGUGACG